CAUGACUCAUAAACAAACGGAGGACAGACUGACUGCCUCUUAUCAGAGCCUGAGUAUGCGCCCCAGGACUGAGGCUCUCGGUAUACGCCCUCACUACCCCAUCCAUACCCAUCUGUUGCUUUGUAUUUGGAUGCAAACACAGAGGAAGUGUACACGCGUGAAAGGAUAAUGAUGUCAUACCACCUAACACUGGUGUGCUGAUCCCACACGCCCAGAGUAGUGCUGGUAGAUGACAUGCCCAUGGUGGACAGGAAAAGUGACUUUUCCUUCCUCCUCCUAGAGAGAUUCUCUCGAUAAUACCUGCUCCUGGCUGA